rnacentral:rRNA from 1 species
UGCCAGACUCCUACGGGAGGCAGCAGUGGGGAAUAUUGCACAAUGGGGGAAACCCUGAUGCAGCGACGCCGCGUGAGUGAAGAAGUAUUUCGGUAUGUAAAGCUCUAUCGGCAGGGAAGAAGUUGACGGUACCUGAGUAAGAAGCCCCGGCUAACUACGUGCCAGCAGCCGCGGUAAUGCGUAGGGGGCAAGCGUUAUCCGGAUUUACUGGGUGUAAAGGGAGCGUAGACGGCAGUGCAAGUCUGAAGUGAAAGCCCCGGGCUUAACCCGGGAACUGCUUUGGAAACUGUACGGCUGGAGUGCUGGAGAGGUAAGCGGAAUUCCUAGUGUAGCGGUGAAAUGCGUAGAUAUUAGGAGGAACACCAGUGGCGAAGGCGGCUUACUGGACAGUAACUGACGUUGAGGCUCGAAAGCGUGGGGAGCAAACAGGAUUAGAUACCCGUGUAA